rnacentral:rRNA from 1 species
GCUGACGAGUGGCCUUCGGGUGAGUAAUGUCUGGGAAACUGCCUGAUGGAGGGGGAUAACUACUGGAAACGGUAGCUAAUACCGCAUAACGUCGCAAGACCAAAGAGGGGGACCUUCGGGCCUCUUGCCAUCGGAUGUGCCCAGAUGGGAUUAGCUAGUAGGUGGGGUAACGGCUCACCUAGGCGACGAUCCCUAGCUGGUCUGAGAGGAUGACCAGCCACACUGGAACUGAGACACGGUCCAGACUCCUACGGGAGGCAGCAGUGGGGAAUAUUGCACAAUGGGCGCAAGCCUGAUGCAGCCAUGCCGCGUGUAUGAAGAAGGCCUUCGGGUUGUAAAGUACUUUCAGCGGGGAGGAAGGGAGUAAAGUUAAUACCUUUGCUCAUUGACGUUACCCGCAGAAGAAGCACCGGCUAACUCCGUGCCAGCAGCCGCGGUAAUACGGAGGGUGCAAGCGUUAAUCGGAAUUACUGGGCGUAAAGCGCACGCAGGCGGUUUGUUAAGUCAGAUGUGAAAUCCCCGGGCUCAACCUGGGAACUGCAUCUGAUACUGGCAAGCUUGAGUCUCGUAGAGGGGGGUAGAAUUCCAGGUGUAGCGGUG